rnacentral:lncRNA from 13 species
CAUUUUCCCAUGAUCAUGACAUAACAAAAGUUGUUUGGUUGAGAUAAACUCCAUAAAGAGGAGUGGCUUGACAGUAUGGCUGAGGCUGCAGAGCCUGCAGUGGAUUCAGUACGUUUGUAUUAAUUGCUAUGGUAAGGGAUGGCACAUUUCAUGCUAACAUCAUGCUUUCAUUUGUGUUUGGAGCUUAUUAUCAGUUUUAUAAGUUAGAACAUUAUCAAGUUUAAAUAUCCCUUACCUUGAGCUAAGAGCUCUCGGGGCAUCUAAGCCCUCAUGUGGCAUUUAAGCCCAGAACAAUGCCUGACAGGCAGUUCUGUCUCCCGGGCGGCACGUAGCCUGGGAGACAUACUGCCUGUCAGGCAUCGUUCAGGGCUUAAUUGCCCAGUAUUGCGAUCAACGCAGCCAAAGGGCUCCUUGAUGAAGUGGUUAUCAUGCAUCUGAACAAAUCAAUGGAUGACCCAUGGUACAUUUGAAUAUCUCUUGAUCGCGACAACACAACUUUUGUUAUGUGAUCAUGUGAUAAAUAAGUUGUGAUCUCGACAUAAUGAGGGAAAAAGAACAAUUAAUUCAUAAUGCCCUCUCUGGACUAUCGUAGUAAUGUGUCUUGUGUAAAAACAUUUUUUUUAUAAAAAGUUAUAUAUUGAAAAUACUGCAUUGCAAAUAAUGUUGCCAACUUUUAACUAAUCAAUCAUGUCAACUGCCGUUGAAUUGAAAAAGUUGAUUAAAAAUUUAUUCAGAAACUAUGUUUCUGUCAUUCCCUGAAGAGGUCUUAUCUAAGCUUUAUAUCAUUUUCUCACAUACAACAUGGUUUAUUAAUUAGUACACUCUGUAGCAAAAAUUUUUGCAACAGAAAAUGUUUGCAAUGAACUAGUUUCUUAUUGGAAAAUUCAGGUAGGUAACUCCCUGUUUCAGCCUGUGUACUUCCAUUUGGUUCCUGGUUAAUACACUCCUGUAUGCUGUUAAUGCCAGAACCAGUAGAGGGAAGCAGUGAUUCAAUAUCAAUAAUGGGCAAUAAUCCCUACAAUUUACAAUUCAAGAGCUUUCCCUUGGGUUUCAAUACAUAUGUUAUAUUAUGAAUACCACAAUAUACUAAACACAAUUAUACAAAUAAUAAGACAAAUCAAUAAAUAGCAUAAUCAUAGUAAAUGUCAAGUGACUUGACCUGACACAUAACAGAAAUGUUUAUACAACAAAGUUCCAUAUCUUUUUUUAUUUACAGAAAUGUGCUUUAGCCUGUUAUUUCAACCGUACCCAGCAACUAUUUCUUUAUUGGUGUACAUAAGUCCAAUACACACAUCUGUCAAUGACUGUAGAAGAGAGAAACACAUUGAUUAACCUUCUAUUACAGACACAUUUUAGAAAUGUUAUUUGCAUAGCACAUUAACAAAAUGGUAAAACAUGAUUUUUAACCUGAAUUUCAAAACCUUUAAAUUGAAUUCAGAGAAAUAUAUUAUAUUGUUCUCUGUAGAAUGUUGAUUGUAUGAAUCUGAAACUUGUUGAUUGAUUGAAUCACUUAUGCAUCUCAAUAAUUAUGUUGUUAGAUGUAAAAAAAUAUAUAUAUAUAACUUUACCGGUCUUUAUUUCGGCAAAAUAACAUGUGUUUCGGUGUCAGUGUCAAUCAUAGAGAGAAAUGAGAACUCUAGAUGGAUAUACAGUUGAAGUUGAAAGUUUACAUACACUUUAGCCAAAUACAUUUAAACUCAGUUUUCCACAAUUCCUGACAUUUAGUCAGAGUAAGAAUUCCCUGUCUUAGGUCAUUUAGGAUCACCACUUUAUUUUAAGAAUGUGAAAUGUCAGAAUAAUAGUAGAGAGUGAUUUAUUUCAGCUUUCAUUUCUUUCAUUACAUUCCCAGUGGGUCAGAAGUUUACAUGCACUCAAUUAGUAUUUGGUAGCAUUGCCUUUUAAAUUGUUUAACUUGGGUCAAACAUUUUGGGUAGCCUUCCACAAGCUUCCCACAAUAAGUUGGGUGAAUUUUGGCCCAUUUCUCCUGACAGAGCAGGUGUAACAGAGUCAGGUUUGUAGGCCUCCUUGCUUGCACAUGCUUUUUCAGUUCUGCCUACACAUUUUCUAUAGGCUUGAGGUCGGGGCUUUGUGAUGGCCAUUCCAAUACCUUGACUUUGUUGUCCUUUAGCCAUUUUGCCACAACUUUGGAAUUAUGCUUGGGGUCAUUGUCCAUUUGGAAGACCCAUUAGCGACCAAGUUUUAACUUCCUGGCUGAUGUCUUGAGAUGUUGCUUCAAUAUAUCCACAAUUUUCCGUCCUCAUGAUGCCAUCUAAUUUGUGAAGUGCACCAGGCCCUCCUGCAGCAAAGCACCCUCACAACAUAAUGCUGCCACCCCGGGGCUUCACGGUUGGGAUGGUGUUCUUCGGCUUACAAGCCCCCCCUUUUUCCUCCAAACAUAGAUGAUCAUUAUGCCCAAAUAGUUAUAUUUUUGUUUCAUCAGACCAGAGGACAUUUCUUCAAAAAGUACGAUCUUUGUCCCCAUAUGCAGUUGCAAACCAUAGUCUGGCUUUUUAUGGCGGUUUUGGAGCAGUAACUUCUUCCUUGCUGAGCAGCCUUUCAGGAUAUGUCGAUAUAGGACUCGUUUUACUGUGGAUAUAGAUACUUUUGUACCUGUUUCCUCCAGCAUCUUCACAAGGUUCUUUGCUGUUGUUCUGGGAUUGAUUUGCACUUUUCGCACCAAAGUAU